UCCAGACUCCUACGGGAGGCAGCAGUGGGGGAUAUUGCACAAUGGGGGGAACCCUGAUGCAGCGACGCCGCGUGGGUGAAGGAGCGUUUCGGCGCGUAAAGCCCUAUCGGCAGGGAAGAAGGAGGACGGUACCUGACUAAGAAGCCCCGGCUAACUACGUGCCAGCAGCCGCGGUAAUACGUAGGGGGCAAGCGUUAUCCGGAUUUACUGGGUGUAAAGGGGGCGCAGACGGCAGCGCAAGCCAGGAGUGAAAGCCCGGGGCCCAACCCCGGGACUGCUCUUGGAACUGCGCGGCUGGAGUGCAGGAGGGGCAGGCGGAAUUCCUGGUGUAGCGGUGAAAUGCGUAGAUAUCAGGAGGAACACCGGCGGCGAAGGCGGCCUGCUGGACCGUGACUGACGUUGAGGCUCGAGAGCGUGGGGAGCAAACAGGAUUAGAUACCCCAGUAAA
rnacentral:rRNA from 1 species